AAUACAUAACCAAGUCAUGUACCCUUAUAACAUUUUACUAUAUGAAAAAAAGUGCGACUAUUUGAAUUGAACUUUCUUUUAAAAAAUAAAAAUAAAAUUCAACCUACCCCACAAAGGAAAAACAAAAAUUGGGAUGCUAAGUAAAAUAAGUAGCAACAAUUUUUAUUUUUUUAUUUUUUAUAUUUUUUUGGUGAAACUAUUUUUUAUUUUUAAGAAAGGGUAAAAUUAUAAAUUAAGCUCAGUGCAAACAAAUUGGCACCGAAGUGCGCGAGAGAAGUUUGAAACAUAAUCGCUGCAAAGAAGAGAGGGCAAAAGUGUAAAUAUAUAGACGAAACACGAUUAACUUUAGGCCGAGCAGUAGACAGAGUAGACAGUAGAGCACCUAGCGACGUGAAAGCUAAGCUACUGGUUUGCGAGAUAAGUGAAGAAGAGAAGGAAUUGAGAAAAAAUAUAGCUGUGGGUUGUAAACCCUAAAUCCCCAAAUCCAUAUAACCCUAAUCUCUCUCUCCUUCUCUCUGUCUCUACAUUUCCAUUCCGAUUCUCCUAUCACACCAAAAACACCCUUCACAUCACACGCUUCGCUCUUGG
rnacentral:lncRNA from 1 species